GAAGACGGAGGCGGGUUCUGGACAGACGUAGGCUGUCAGGGAGUGUUUACUUCGCCUCCACUUCUGUUCCUCCCUGCCCUGGUGCUGCUCCAGGUCACAUACUCGUCCUGAGCCGGCUUCAGCCUGUCCGCGCAGAAGUCUCCCGGAGCCAUGGCCUAGUACUCUUAUGUGAAGUCUAGCAAGCUCGUGCUCAAGGGAACCGAGGUGAAGAGCUGGGUCCUGCAGCUCUGGUGGGAGCCUCCUCAGUUCUUUUCGGAUGCACUCCACCCCCGCGAAUCCGGUGGAAGCCGUGGUGCAGAGAGCCGGCUUUGUGGCCUCCCAGGCUUCGCUCUGACCCUGUCUGGGCUGGACGGAGGCCGGACCGCGGUUCCUGGCGCCUGUGCAGAGAGGGGCAGCCUCCCGUGCUGACGACCCUGGAAACAGGAUAGACGGGCGGGUGACCCGUGGCCCCGUACCCACGAGUUUGGGUCCCCUGAGGCAUCUCUCCAGGCCUCUGCCUGUAAGAAGAAAAAGAGCAAAGAUAAGAAGAGAAAAAGAGAAGAUGAAGAAACCCAGCUUGAUACGUUGGAAUCUGGUGAACAGUAACAAACUUUGGUGAAAUUUCAGGAACCAUAGCCAUUGAAAUGGAUGAGGGAACCUAUAUACAUGCACUCGACAAUGGUCUUUUUACCCUGGGAGCUCCACACAAAGAAGAAUCGCCCUGAAAUCUGGCUAUGGAAAAUAUCUUGGUAUAAAUUCAGAUGAACUUGUUGGGCAUUCAGAUGCAAUUGGACCAAGAGAACAAUGGGAACCAGUCUUUCAAAAUGGGAAAAUGGCUUUGUUGGCCUCAAAUAGCUGCUUUAUUAGAUGCAAUGAAGCAGGGGACAUAGAAGCAAAAAGUAAAACAGCAGGAGAAGAAGAAAUGAUCAAGAUUAGAUCCUGUGCUGAAAAAGAAACCAAGAAAAAAGAUGACAUUCCAGAAGAAGACAAAGGAAAUGUAAAACAAUGUGAAAUCAAUUAUGUAAAGAAAUUUCAGAGCUUCCAAGACCACAAACUUAAAA
rnacentral:lncRNA from 1 species